rnacentral:lncRNA from 1 species
GUCAGGAGAUCGAGACCAUCCUGGCCAACACGGUGAAACCCUGUCUCUACUAAAAAUACGAACAAACAAAAACAUCUCUGGACCAAUCUGGUCUUAAUUUCUUCUAUCCAGGCCUUUUGGUUCUCCCUGGCUGGCCAUGGGCUUCACUUCUCUGAUGGCUCAAUUCAUUCUUUCCUAAGAUCUUCAAGUUUAUAGUGAAAUUUUCUCUCAAGUGAGCUUUUUUCCUGCUUAUUCCAAGGCUGAUUUAAUUAUAACCAUUCUUUAAGUAAAAAAGGACUUAUUUAUUCAAAAAUUCUGAGUACCUUUUUCAUGCUAGGCAGCACUGAGAAUGUCAUGGAAGGCAUGUGCCAGAUGCUGGAUUACAUCAGAAUGAGCAAGAAAAAUACAGCAUCUGUCCAGGUGGAACUUACAGUCUGGUGAAUACACACAAAUAGGUAAAUUCUCUUUGCUGUAGGAGCAACACCUAAACCCAGAUUUGAGCUACUGGAAAAGUUGAAAAUUAACAUGCAGCUUGCUUAUUUCUGUUGGACAACACUACUGUAGACCAGCGGGUCUCAAACAGAGCAGAGAGUUUAUGAACACACAGAUUGCUGGGCCCUAAAAAUUUAGUUCCUAGUUAAGUACCUUUAUAUUUUGCUUAGAAAGAUUAUACUGUAUUUGUUAAUGUUUAUUUGAAUUGUGAAGUGUGAAGUAACUUUCUGAUUCAGUAGGUCUGUAUGAGGUCUGAGAGUUUGAAUUUCUGACAGGUUCCCAGGUGGUACUGGAUGCUGCUGAUCCAAUGACCACAUUUUAAGAACCACUGCUUUAGACCAGGCCCUAAGUAGGGCCAGAUAGUAAGUGUUUUAGGCUUGGGGUAGAGGUGAGGGUGGGGAAGUCGCUUAACCCAGAAUUCUAUAACCAAUGAAAAUUUUCUUUAAGACUGAAGAUGAAAUACAAUUUUCAAAUGAAAGAAAACAAAAAAUUCGUUGUCCAAAGACCUGCACUAAAAGAAGCUUUUCAGAUUGAAAGGAAAUAAUGCAAAUGGAGAUUUAGAUCCUUAUAAAACAAUGGAGGGUGUCAGAAAUGGUAGAUAUAUGGGUCAAUGCAAAAGGCUUUUUAAUUUUUUUCCUGAUUUCUUUUUAAUACAUACAACUUUAUAGUAAGAAUAACAACUGUAUCUUGUUGGGUUUAUAAUGUACAUAGAUGUAAUACAUAUAAACAUGAUAGCAUAAUGAUUAGAAAUGGGAUUUGGGCCUACAGUUGCAAGGUUGUAUUAUAGUACAUAAUAUAUGUUAUUAUUAUAUAUAAAUAUAUAUAUAUAUUUGAGACAGAGUCU